UGGGGAAUAUUGGACAAUGGGGGGAACCCUGAUCCAGCCAUGCCGCGUGUGUGAAGAAGGCCUUAUGGUUGUAAAGCACUUUAAGCGAGGAGGAGGGUACUGGUAUUAAUACUACCAGGUACUGGACGUUACUCGCAGAAUAAGCACCGGGUAACUCUGUGCCAGCAGCCGCGGUAAUACAGAGGGUGCGAGCGUUAAUCGGAUUUACUGGGCGUAAAGCGUGCGUAGGCGGCUAAUUGAGUCGGAUGUGAAAUCCCCGAGCUUAACUUGGGAAUUGCAUUCGAUACUGGUUAGCUAGAGUGUGGGAGAGGAUGGUAGAAUUCCAGGUGUAGCGGUGAAAUGCGUAGAGAUCUGGAGGAAUACCGAUGGCGAAGGCAGCCAUCUGGCCUAACACUGACGCUGAGGUACGAAAGCAUGGGGAGCAAACAGG
rnacentral:rRNA from 1 species